rnacentral:rRNA from 1 species
ACGCUCGACACCUACGGGAGGCAGCAGUGGGGAAUAUUGCACAAUGGGGGAAACCCUGAUGCAGCGACGCCGCGUGAGCGAAGAAGUAUUUCGGUAUGUAAAGCUCUAUCAGCAGGGAAGAAACUGACGGUACCUGACUAAGAAGCACCGGCUAAAUACGUGCCGGCAGCCGCGGUAAUCUGAGCGGGCGUGGCGAAGGAC